AAAUUAUUUCGGAAUCCAAUCUUGGGUUCCUAACACUAUCCAAAAUCCGUUAGGCCUCCCGCUAUUGUGCCACUUGGGUCACGCUUCAAUGUCCAAUCUUGGGCGUGAGGUGGGUGUGUUAAGUGUGGAGAUAUGAAAUGAAAAUGUGUUUAUAAGUGAGGGCAUCCCUCACUUUACAAGACCAGCUUUUGGUUAAGACUAUCAACAAUUUAUUUUUAUUGGAAACAUGAAUCAGUUUCUUGUAUUGGUUGGAAAGUUGAGCUUUGAUAGCAUGUAACAUGCAUUACUUGCAAAUUUUGAUUUCCUUUGCAAUAAAUCAAUCAUAAAAUUACUCUACUUUGGUAACAAGUGAAUUCAUUAAAUUUCUAUGUUGCUCAUGGACCAAUUUUAAUUCUUUUUGUUUUCUGUAUUUCAGGCUCAAAAAGCAGAACGUGAUGCUAGUGAUCUAAAGGGCAUGAUGAGGAAAAGGAUGGAAUUUCUUGAUUUUGACUGAGACUUCCUACAAUCAUAAUAAUCAAGCUGGUCUCAUCUGCAAAUUUUAAUGCAGCUGUGACUCAUGUUGGACAACAAUGGGUGGAGUGGAAGAAUAAGUAUGGUAGAUGUGCAUUUGUGUUCUUUAGAAACCAGAGAGACAUGAGACCAAAUACUUUGCAGCUAGCAAUUUACUUUUUUUUUUUUUUUUUUUUGUAACCGAGGUCGAAAUUAGUAAUUUAUGUUUUGGCUUCUUAGAGCUACCAGCAAUCAUCAUGAUUCAUGCAUGCCUUAUUGUUGCAUGUGGAUUUUAUGUUAAUGCAUUUCGAGAUAUAUGUUAUGUUAUUGAGUUCUUAAAUUCUAUAGUUUGGUAUUAGAUAAUCUGACAUAGUGGUGGAUACUUGUUUGUGCCCAUUUACAAUGCAUUUUUUCUUUCUUUCAAAGUAUUUUUAUUUUAAGUUUGUGCUUUCUGCAGCUGUUAUAUGCAUGGUUUACCUUUCUCUUUAGUGUUAACUGUUGUAUGAUAAAUUUGAAGGUGAAAAUUUUCUUAAUGGUUUUUGCAAUAAUGUAACAGUCUCAGUCUCGUUGUCC
rnacentral:lncRNA from 1 species